rnacentral:rRNA from 1 species
AGUGAACGCUGGCGGUAGGCCUAACACAUGCAAGUCGAACGGCAGCACAGUAAGAGCUUGCUCUUACGGGUGGCGAGUGGCGGACGGGUGAGGAAUACAUCGGAAUCUACUUUUUCGUGGGGGGUAACGUAGGGAAACUUACGCUAAUACCGCAUACGACCUACGGGUGAAAGCAGGGGAUCUUCGGACCUUGCGCGAUUGAAUGAGCCGAUGUCGGAUUAGCUAGUUGGCGGGGUAAAGGCCCACCAAGGCGACGAUCCGUAGCUGGUCUGAGAGGAUGAUCAGCCACAUGGGAACUGAGAAACGGUCCAGACCCCUACGGGAGGCAGCAGUGGGGAAUAUUGGACAAUGGGCGAAAGCCUGAUCCAGCCAUACCGCGUGGGUGAAGAAGGCCUUCGGGUUGUAAAGCCCUUUUGUUGGGAAAGAAAAGCAGCAGGUUAAAACCCCGCUGUUCUGACGGGACCAAAAGAAUAAGCCCCGGCUAACUUCGU